AUACGUAGGGGGCGAGCGUUGUCCGGAAUUACUGGGCGUAAAGGGCGUGUAGGCGGCCGAUCAAGUCAGGUGUGAAAAUCCAGGGCUCAACCGUGGACGUGCACUUGAAACUGGUUGGCUUGAGUGCAGGAGAGGAAAGUGGAAUUCCCAGUGUAGCGGUGAAAUGCGUAGAUAUUGGGAGGAACACCAGUGGCGAAGGCGACUUUCUGGCCUGUAACUGACGCUGAGGCGCGAAAGCUAGGGGAGCAAACAGGAUUAGAUACCCUGGUAGUCCUAGCCGUAAACGAUGGGUACUAGGUGUAGGGAGCUUAAAAGCUUUCUGUGCCGCAGUUAACACAUUAAGUACCCCGCCUGGGGAGUACGGCCGCAAGGCUGAA
rnacentral:rRNA from 1 species